rnacentral:tRNA from 2 species
CGGGGUGUGGCGCAGCCUGGUAGCGCAUCUGCUUUGGGAGCAGAGGGUCGCAGGUUCGAAUCCUGUCGCCCCGACCA